rnacentral:rRNA from 1 species
GAUGAACGCUGGCGGCGUGCCUAAUACAUGCAAGUCGAGCGAACAGACGAGGAGCUUGCUCCUCUGACGUUAGCGGCGGACGGGUGAGUAACACGUGGAUAACCUACCUAUAAGACUGGGAUAACUUCGGGAAACCGGAGCUAAUACCGGAUAAUAUAUUGAACCGCAUGGUUCAAUAGUGAAAGACGGUUUUGCUGUCACUUAUAGAUGGAUCCGCGCCGCAUUAGCUAGUUGGUAAGGUAACGGCUUACCAAGGCAACGAUGCGUAGCCGACCUGAGAGGAUGAUCGGCCACACUGGAACUGAGACACGGUCCAGACUCCUACGGGAGGCAGCAGUAGGGAAUCUUCCGCAAUGGGCGAAAGCCUGACGGAGCAACGCCGCGUGAGUGAUGAAGGUCUUCGGAUCGUAAAGCUCUGUUAUUGGGGAAGAACAAAUGUGUAAGUAACUAUGCACGUCUUGACGGUACCUAAUCAGAAAGCCACGGCUAACUACGUG